rnacentral:misc_RNA from 1 species
GAAAUGCGAUAAGUAAUGUGAAUUGCAGAAUUCAGUGAAUCAUCGAAUCUUUGAACGCACCUUGCGCUCCUUGGUAUUCCUUGGAGCAUGCCUGUUUGAGUAUCAUGAAAUCUUCAAAGUAAAUCUUUUGUUAACUCAAUUGGCUUCUACUUUGGUAUUGGAGGUCUUUGCAGCUUCACACCUGCUCCUCUUUGUUCAUUAGCUGGAUCUCAGUGUUAUGCUUGGUUCCACUCGGCGUGAUAAGUUAUCUAUCGCUGAGGACACUGUAAAAGGUGGCCAAGGUAAAUGCAGAUGAACCGCUUCUAAUAGUCCAUUGACUUGGGCAAUACUUUUAUGAUCUGAUCUCAAAUCAGGUAGGACUACCCGCUGAACUUAAGC